CAUGACCAUUUGUAGGUUAAAUUUAUAAACAAGUUUGCCCAUGUGUCUUGCUUAUUUCUCUCUUCUGUAACAUUUUUCAUAUCCGUUUAGUGUUUACCUUAAAGAAACACUUACGCCCUGUGACUAUCCAAUAUAUUCCACAGGCUUAACGUUCUUCUAAAUGCUCUCAUAGCUGGAGAUCUUGGUGUAAACAUAAUCAUGUCCGAACCUGAAGAUGACGAUCGCUCAGUUCCUCAUCUGAAGAAGAGGAUGAAGAUGCAAAGGGAGUUACAGAAGAGAUAGAAAAGAAUUUUCUGCGGACCUUGAGCUGUUUAAGGAAGAAAGAUCCAAAAAUUUAUGAUUCAAAUGUCAAAUUUUUCAAUGAUGAGCCCUCAGAAGCCAACAAGGAAUCUGAGACCGGGAAGAGAGAGAAAAGAAACCGAAGAAGGAAUCAAUGUCAGUACGACAAUACGAGACCAAAUUAUUGCUAGAGCAUGGACCUGAAUUCGUUGAAAAAGAUGAAGAUGAAGCAGACAUCCAAGAGCCCUCUUCUCCAACUUAUAUCGAAGAGCAAAAAGUUUUGAAAGAAAAUUUCAAGAAGAUUUUGGAUGCAUCAGACUCAGAGGAUGAUAGUGAAGGUUUGUUCAAGGUGAAAGUAAAACAAGAAGAAGAGAAAGAAAGAGAGGAAGAGGCUUUCAGGAAGUGGUUGAAAGGCCAGAAAGAAGAUAUCGAAGAUAAUGAAACGAAGAAGGAUUUACAGUAUCUUCACGAUUGUUGGACAGAUCCCAACAUUGAUAAUCUGAAGAAUUUUUGAAAGAUUAUAUUCUGAAUAAGAGAUACUUGGAGAAGGACGACCAGCCAAAUAAAGCGGCACUGGAAGAUCUGUCUGAGGAAGAAGAAGAGCUGAAAAAAGCUGAAGAAUUUGAAUACAAGUAUAACUUCAGAUAUGAAGAGCCUGACAGAGAAUUUUUAAAGAGAUAUCCAAGAGAUAUCGAGUCCUCUAUGCGGCGCAAGAAAGAUAAGCAAGAAAAACGCAGGCUCCAGAGAGAAAAAGCGAAAGAAAGGAAGCUCAAGAAGUUCGAAGAAAAGCAGAAAGAAGUGGCCGAACUCAAGAAGAAGAAACGCGAAGAACUUGUUGAGCAAAUAAAAAAACUUAAAGAUCUCACUGGAAAUGACAAACUAGCAUUUGAAGAUGAGUUAAUGGAUGAUGACUUUGAUUCUACUAAGUUUGACCAGAAAUGGAAGAAGUAUUCAAUAACGAUUUCUACAAUGACGAAGAUGAAGAGAAGCCUGUUUUUGAGGAUGAUGAUUUUGAUUACAGUUACUAUGAGAAUCAAGAAGCUGAUCCUGAGGAUCCAAAUUUUGUGAUGGACUGUGAUUACAACCCUGAAGUUGCCAAACAAAGAAGCUAGAGAAAAAGCUGAAAUCAAAAGACAAAAAGAAAAAUGCUCUCACCUCUACUGAAUCGACCGAUCUUCCGGAUGAAAUAAAAUCAAACGCUGAGGCCUUCGAAAAGUAUAUUGACGAGUUUUACAAGUAUGAUUUUGAGGAUUUGAUUGACGAUCUUCCAUGCAGGUUCAAUACUCCAAAGUUGUUCCUAAUAGCUAUGGUCUGACCAUAGAUGAGGUGAGUGUAAACGGUUUAACCGCAAUGUUUGCUUCUCUAAUGAGGUUUAAACAUACUUUAAAUAUCUUGAUUUGGACAUCUUAAAUAGCAAAG
rnacentral:lncRNA from 1 species